UUGGCUCUACUGCGAUGGUGAUGGCAACGCUGGCGAGGAUGGGGGCAGCCUGACAUUGGCCACUGAUUCCUCGAGGACCAUCGUAACGGACUUAGAAGAAAGAUGAAUUUCCAAUGCCUUAUGUGUCUGAUUCAGUUUAUUAGAAAGCGUGUGUCAUACUACAGCUUGCAGAUAGUGGGACUCGCAUCCCAGAGGAGUGAAGAACCGCUCUGUAACUCAGCAUUAGAGUUAUUGGGGUGAAUUGCAAGCAGAUGGACAACACGCAUUGCUGCAGCCAGCCUGAGCUCUGCCCAGUCGGAGCUGGAGGAACUGCUUCUCCUUCUGCUUCCAGGAAAUCAGACCCUGAAGAGGGAUGUGAAGUUAGGAGGGAUGCAGGAUGUGCCAAACCAGGCACGUUCCAUGCACCAGCCACUGCUCUGGUGCCUGAAGGAGUAAAGGAGGGAGAAGGUGCUGCGUCUGUCGCUCUGCAGCAUCGGGGUUCAGAUCUGACCCAGCUGAAGGAACGGAGGGCAUCUAUUAUUUACUGCCCAUAUGGUGUCCUGUGCAAAAUAUUUGGAUGCUCUGAGUCUAUUUCUCAUAUGAGAGUAAUUGUAAUCAAGAAGAUGUGUCUCCUCUCAGCAAUUCUAGAGAAAACAAGAUUGGAAUCACUCAGUUUAACACCAAGUUUUCAACCCAUUCCCGAACGCCCCAGGCUAACGCAUCUCCCAUCACUGCACGCUGGCUGCAUUCAGGAUGGAGCUGCAACCAAAGUGAUGUCACAAAAAUACAGGGUUGGAUGCUCAUCCCAAGGGGUCAUCUUAUCUGCCCCUGGCUGCAGGGCAUGACCAGCCCACCUAAACUCCUCCUGACAGAUGCUCUUCCAAUCUGUUCCCCAAAAAGGGAAUUUUCCACGCUGUCCUCAGGCCACCCAUCCCAAGACUUAACUAACCAUGCCAUUGGAGGCGUGCACUGGGUGCUCUCUUUUCAAAGCUUUCUCUAGCUGUGCCAUUAGAAGUGUGUUUCUGAUGUCUAACAUGAAUGCUUCUUGCUGCAGUUUAUGUUUAUCUUGUCAUCCUCGUAGCAAACAUGAAAAACUGUUUAUUCCCCUCCUUUUCAGAGCUUUCCUUUAAAUGUUUGAAGUUUUCAUGUCUCCCCUCAUCUUCUACAGAAUAAGCAAACCAAAUUUU
ensembl:lncRNA